UGAUCUUAUUUGGAAAUAACGUUCUGUGCAGAUAUAAUCAAGUUAAGCUGAGGUCUUUGUCAGUUGAAGUAGGCCUUACCUCAACUCUAUGCUUGAUAUCCUUAUAAAAGGAGGGUACUCUGGACACAAACAGAUGUGUUUCAAGCAGAAACACAGAGUGAAGAUGGCUGUGUGAAAACAAAGGCGGAGAUGUGGAUUUUCUGCCACCAGCCAAGGAAUUUCAAGGCUUGCUGGCCAUCAACAGAAUCUAGAAGUAACAUGGAAGGAUUCUUCCUUAGAGCCUUCUUGGUUUUCAAUUUCUACCUUCCAGGACUAUGAGAGAAUAAAUGUCUGGUCCUGUAAGCAAUGGAUUUGUGGUAAUUUAUAAUGGCAGCCCUAUGAAACUAAUAGAGAACUCUGACAGUUUAUAAAGACUGAUUCAUUGAGAAUCAACUUUGAAAGACACAAGGUUUGCCCCCAUGGAACAUCCUUAACUGAAGUAUUUUCUUUACCAGCCCUAGAAGCUCUUCUGCCCUUAGAAAUGAUAUAAGAGUCCUGACAGCAAGAUGUACAAGGUUAUAGUUGGUGAUGAAAACAUGAAGUGAAUAUUAUUGUCUGUAAUGCUUGGAGAUAAUCCACAUGUCUUAGACAUGAGAAGAGGAAAACAAAGCCAAGUGUUGAUAAAGAAAGAUGUUUGAGAGUCCCUUGGAAUGCAAGGAGAUCCAUCCAGUCCAUCCUAAAGGAAAUCAG